rnacentral:rRNA from 1 species
GACGAACGCUGGCGGCGUGCCUAAUACAUGCAAGUCGAACGAAGCUUUUUUAACUGGUGCUUGCACCGACUUAAACAACUGAGUGGCGAACGGGUUAGUAACACGUGGGUAACCUGCCCCAAAGCGGGGGAUAACAUUUGGAAACAGAUGCUAAUACCGCAUAACCACAGAAACCACAUGGUUUCUGUGUCAAAGAUGGUUUCGGCUAUCACUUUGGGAUGGACCCGCGGCGUGUUAGCUAGUUGGUAAGGUAAUGGCUUACCAAGGCAAUGAUACGUAGCCGAACUGAGAGGUUGAUCGGCCACAUUGGGACUGAGACACGGCCCAAACUCCUACGGGAGGCAGCAGUAGGGAAUCUUCCACAAUGGACGAAAGUCUGAUGGAGCAACGCCGCGUGAGUGAAGAAGGUUUUCGGAUCGUAAAACUCUGUUGUCAGAGAAGAACGUGUGCGAGAGUAACUGUUCGUGCAGUGACGGUAUCUGGCCAGAAAGCCACGGCUAACUACGUGCCAGCCGCCGCGGUAA